CAGUAGCCGCGGGAAUACGUAGGUGGCAGGCGUUGUCCGGAAUUAUUGGGCGUAAAGGGCUCGCAGGCGGUUUCUUAAGUCUGAUGCGAAAGCCCCCGGCUCAACCGGGGAGGGUCAUUGGAAACUGGGAAACUUGAGUGCAGAAGAGGAGAGUGGAAUUCCACGUGUAGCGGUGAAAUGCGUAGAGAUGUGGAGGAACACCAGUGGCGAAGGCGACUCUCUGGUCUGUAACUGACGCUGAGGAGCGAAAGCGUGGGGAGCGAACAGGAUUAGAUACCCCCGUAGUCCCUGUCUCUUAUAC
rnacentral:rRNA from 1 species